UUGCCUUGGGCAAAUGUUUUUUUAUUGAUAACAACAUUGGCAUAUACUGAUCAAAACAGGACGAUACAAAAAAAAAGCCUCUAGUGCAAUUAAACGAUGAACAUACAAAGAUACUGCCUUGACCAUAGCAGUCAGGCUACUGCUACUUUGUUUUGAGCCAAAGAGUUAAGAGUGUUAACGCCAAUAAAAUUGGUUUGCGUUAACGCCGUUAAUAACGCGUUUAACUGACAGCGCUCGUGAAAAUCAAUAUUAAAAUUCAUGUAGCCCUAUGCGAAAAUAUUCUAUGGAUAGGCCUACAGAUUUUAUGGCCCUUCUUUCUAUAAUGUAAUUGGUUGUGGGGUGUGGCAGAACCACUAUGAACAAAUAUCAGAAAUCAUACAGUUUCACUAGUAAAUCUAUUGCUAUGUGGAAAAAAUGUCAUUACGGCGGAUCAAAUGGGAGACAACAAACAUUGAACAAAAGUAACAAAAUGUAUUCAAAUGUAUAAGGCUGCAUUCAAUGCAAUUUGAAGGACAUGUUUGUAAACGAAUGACAGCUAAACAUUUAAACAAGAACAAUAAUAAUAAAAAAACAAAUGUGUAAGGCUGGAUUCAAUGCAAUUAGAAGGACACGUUUGUAAACGAAAAAACUCUUGUCUAUAUUUUACUGUGAUUUUUGCCAAGUGCAACACAAUCAGUGACACACUGAUUUGGGCAGUGAAUUGCCCUUUUCCCUUCCAUAGUUGUGCUCUCUUAGGCCCCGUUUACACAAAGGGAAAACGCAGAUAUUUCCACGCGGUUUGGCCUCUCAUUUACACGAAAACGCUGUCAUUUAUCACAGAAAACGAUAAUUUCUAAAAACUCCGGCCGAAGUGGAGAUUUCUGAAAACGCCGGUUACGUGUUGUCGUGUCAACGGAGAGAAACAGGGUUUUAGGUUCUGAAGUGUCACAUUAUGCGCCAGGAAAUGCUUAACGUCAUAUGAGCGCUGUUACGUAUUUUAAGAAUCUAAGCUACCCACACAUAGACCCAAUGAAGCAUGACCAAACAUAUAAGCCGUAAAUACUAUACAUAGCCACUAGGGGAGCAAGACCUUAUUGAAAGCGGCUCCACCACAGAAGGCAUCACCUGAAGAAGUCGAAGCCAC
ensembl:lncRNA